GACCUGCCGAGGGCGCGCGCCGCGUGCUGGCGCUCCCUGGCGGCGCCGCGGAGCUUGGCGCGGCAGCUGGAGGCGGCCUGGCGCGUGGUGACGGCGCCCGCGGGCGGACGCAGGAUGGCGGCGCUGCGGGGCGACGGCUUCGCCAGGCUUCGGCCCGCACGGGCGCAGCGAACCCCAGGGAAGAAAGACAAAGACACGCCGGUUAGCAACGGGCGGGAACCGCGCAGCCCGGGGCCGAGGCGCCGCGUCCCCACCCCGCACCCUUCAGGGCAUGUGAAGGCUGGAUGCCGGCUUAGGAGUUGCUUCUCUCCUGCCACCACUGGGUUCCAAAGAUUGAACUCAGGUUGUCAGGCUUGGUACCAAGCACCUCUAUCCACUGAGCCAUCUUGCCAGGCCUGGUUUCAAUUUAAUAUUUUGGAAUGUACAUUGUGUCUUAGGGGCCUUUCUCAGACAGUAACAGCAAACAUAAAUAACAUAAGGUUCCCAUCUCUGAGAAGGAGCAUCUAGAAAAUUACUUUCCUAUUAUUAGGAUGAGUCAGAGCCCAAGGCUCACCUGACUCCCUGUCACUGUACACAGGCCAAGGCUUUGCUUUUCAGUCUUCAAAGGAGCCUUCUCAUUUCCUGUCAUUCCUCUGCUCAGAUACAUAAAAGCAUCCCACUGUCCCCACACUAGAUGAAUAAAUAGUUGUUAACCUUUGAGGAGAGCCAAAGACGAGUCUGAGGUUCUGCCUAAAGAUAUGGUCACCUUCCAGAAGCUUGUACAGACCACACUAGAAACUGACUUCCUGAACGUUUAUAAACGUGUAAGACCAUACAGUGGCUUCCCCUGCAUUGCUCCUUUUCAAAAGUGGAAAACUGAUGCUGCCUGGGGCAGGGGCUGGGGAGAGCCUGGAAUGGAGUAAGUUUCAACUGCUUAGAAGUAACUCUUGAUGAUACUUGAUUAACUUAUUAAAUCUGUGAUCUGACCUUUAUCACAGCAAAA
rnacentral:lncRNA from 1 species